AGAGUUUGAUCCUGGCUCACGAUGAACGCUGGCGGCGCGCUUAACACAUGCAAGUCAAACGGUUAAUGCGCCUUCUGGCGCGAAUAGAGUGGCUAACGGCUGAGUAACACGUGGGCAACCUGCCCCCCUCACCGGGAUAGCCGCGGGAAACCGCGGGUAAUACCGGAUACUCCGGCACCGAGGCAUCUCGGCGCCGGGAAAGCCCAUACGGAGGGGGAUGGGCCCGCGGCCUGUUAGCUUGUUGGCGGGGCAACGGCCCACCAAGGCGAUUAUGGGUAGCCGGGUUGAGAGACCGACCGGCCAGAUUGGGACUGAGACACGGCCCAGACUCCUACGGGAGGCAGCAGUGGGGAAUCUUGCACAAUGGGCGCAAGCCUGAUGCAGCGACGCCGCGUGCGGGACGAAGGCCUUCGGGUUGUAAACCGGUUUCAGCAGGGACGAGGGGUAAAACUGACGGUACCUGCAGAAGAAGCCCCGGCUAACUACGUGCCAGCAGCCGCGGUAAUACGUAGGGGGCGAGCGUUAUCCGGAUUCAUUGGGCGUAAAGCGCGCGUAGGCGGCCUGUUAGGUCGGGAGUCAAAUCCGGGGGCUCAACCCCCGCCCGCUCCCGAUACCGGCAGGCUUGAGUCUGGUAGGGGAAGGCGGAAUUCCAAGUGUAGCGGUGGAAUGCGCAGAUAUUUGGAAGAACACCGGUGGCGAAGGCGGCCUUCUGGGCCACGACUGACGCUGAGGCGCGAAAGCUAGGGGAGCGAACAGGAUUAGAUACCCUGGUAGUCCUAGCCGUAAACGAUGGGCACUAGGUGUGGGGGGGACGAUCCCUCCGUGCCGCAGCUAACGCAUUAAGUGCCCCGCCUGGGGAGUACGGCCGCAAGGCUAAAACUCAAAGGAAUUGACGGGGGCCCGCACAAGCGGUGGAGCAUGUGGUUUAAUUCGAAGCAACGCGAAGAACCUUACCAGGUCUUGACAUCCUCUGACACUCCUAGAGAUAGGACGUUCUCCUUCGGGGGACAGAGUGACAGGUGGUGCAUGGUUGUCGUCAGCUCGUGUCGUGAGAUGUUGGGUUAAGUCCCGCAACGAGCGCAACCCUUGAUAUUAGUUGCCAGCAUUCAGUUGGGCACUCUAAGGUGACUGCCGGUGACAAACCGGAGGAAGGUGGGGAUGACGUCAAAUCAUCAUGCCCCUUAUGACCUGGGCUACACACGUGCUACAAUGGAUGGUACAAAGGGCAGCAAACCCGCGAGGGUAAGCGAAUCCCAUAAAGCCAUUCUCAGCUCGGAUUGCAGGCUGCAACUCGCCUGCAUGAAGCCGGAAUCGCUAGUAAUCGCGGAUCAGCAUGCCGCGGUGAAUAAGUUCCCGGCCCUUGCACUCACCGCCCGUCA
rnacentral:rRNA from 1 species